AAUUUUUGGUUGCCCUUUUUUCGUAUUUCGUUUGAAUUACACGCUCUUUCUGAAUGACUUUCUACAUGGUAAGCAAGAGGUGCACGGAUGCAUAAAGCGCAGCUAGUGUUUUACCACCGGAACUUUAAGAACUGUAUUUGGUUUGUGUGUGAAUGAUAGGCGUUGGAUGUAUGUUUGUGUUGGAUGGUGGGUUAUUGACAGUAGACUUCAAAACGGCAUCUUCUGUGUUGUACUUUUAUUUUAUUUACCAAUCUGAAUUUGCUGCAAUUAAAAAGAAACGUCAAUCAUAUCUUAAAGAGAAUCAAUUUUAGCCCGUGUAUUUGUUGGUAGUAAUCGCUGUUUGGAUAGCUGAUUGUUACAGAAGGUGGUGGGGCCAGAGGUGCGGCAUACAGAAUCUCCGGGGGAGAGGGGUGAUACGGAAUCACUGGAAGUCCUCAUUUUGGAUGAUUCAGAAAACAGAAUGUGCCGAAGACUCUGAAACAGAUUGACAUACCGAUCCACGCGGACUCUUUGUGCACCCAGACGAACUUAAGGACCAUAUAAAAACCAUAUGUGUGGGGAGAACAAAUCACGCUGCACGAGGGAGAGACACAGAUUAACCGAAAGCUGUGCGCGUUCUCGGGCAGAGAAGGAGAACGUCUAAGAAAGCGAGUUGCAUCUUCUCCCUCUGCUCACUAUUUUCCCCUGUUUUAACAGGGGUACAACAUUUUGGAUGCACCGCUGGGAUAGCUGUUCUGAUGCCUGCUGUUCACAACCAGGCAGCCAACUUCUGAUCCAGUUAAUCCCCAACAAUAUAACCCCGGCAGAUUACAGUACGUUCGGUGAGAGUUCCAGGCAGUGGUGUAUGCUCCUGAUGAUUCUCUGAGGGCAGAGAUGGCCUCCUUUGUUCUCGACUACAUAUUCUCCCAACCAGAGGAUGAGAUCACAGAUGAGGGUGAUGAGGCAGAGAUGACGAUAGCAGUACUGCAGCGACGGAGGAACCAGCUCGCUGGGUACUACAAACGGAUCAUUCAAGGUGACUUGGAGAUCAGGGCUGCUGAUGUACUCAAAUAUUGCAGCAGGUUCUGCAGGGAUUAUGGAGACACAAUUAAAGAGACAAAUCCAAGAUCACAAAUCAGGUGGAGAGUGCUAAGAAAGCUAUGCGUCAUCAGACCUCAUGGACCUUGAUCCCAUCACCCCUAAUCUGCUGUUGAUGGGGCGGCUAGAUGCUUCUCUCCCUCAAGCUGUGUACGGCUCUAGUGACCUGCUGGGACUUCGCUGUUGGAAACACAGCCGGGUACUUGCUGAUCAUUUCUGGGGUCAGUUUGCAUGCAAGUACCUCCCCAGUCUCCAACCACGGCAGAAAUGGCGAAAUGCAGCUCCAGACUUAGCUGUGAACACUGUAGUUAUGGUGGUGAACCCACAGCUCCGUAGGGCACUUUGGCCUGUUGGGCGCGUCCCAAGAAUCAUCCCUAGUGACAACAGCAAGAUCGGUACAGUGGAGGUGGAGAUCGCGUUUCCAAACUGAUAGAGCUCCCAAAGAUGCCAGACAAUGGUGAAACCAGUGACAAACUUGUUGGACGAAGGAGGACGCUUAACUAACAGAGAAGGAACAUGGAUUAGGGAGGCAUCUUCCUGGCCGGGACACUUAAAGGAGACAUCGAGCACAUGACAGCUGACCUACUCCAAGGGGAAAUACUGGAGUGGGCAGAGACGCAGGCGGAGCUCCACCUCCACCAGCCAGAGCGUGUUUGGCUGUGAAGAGAGUUAGCGCAAGCUGUCUCCCCGGGGGGCCCAGCUCCGGUUCGGCCAGGAAGGGCCAGAGGGCGAUUUCAAGCACGUCCUUACGCAAGAAUACAAGAAAUAGUUAGGGGACAUACAGAUACAUAUGGUUUCUUUUCACAGAAAAAAUAAUGACAAAUUAAUGACAAAUAUUUAUUACUUUGUCUCAUAUUCAUUUCAGUAGCUUCAUUGUUCACAAAAGCUUUCCUUGUCUUUUUUGUUUAGGUCCAGGAGGAGUAGGCGGUAUUUCUGUGUAUAGUUCACCCUGUGUCUUAUUCUUUGGACAUCACUUUCCCAGUUGUUAUUGAAUUAGGGAAUGUGUGACAGAGAGCUCUGUCUAAGGCCUCGAGUGGCAUCCUUUUCCCCACCUUACCCCAUAGUUCCACAGCAUUCAUUCAUUCAUUCAUUCGUGUUUGUGACCCGUUGCCGGUACAUCUUUACAUACAUAUCACUAACGCACAUUUCACUAAAAUAUCGCGCUAGCUUCGAGGGUACACACUCGAAGCAAGCAGCAGAUUACCCGGUUUCAUGCACACUAACAUUUCCAAUUCACGUUAUCGUUUCGG